CUAGUUGGUAGGGGUAACGGGACCGUACCAAGGCGAUGAUGCAUAGCCCGAGUUGAGAGACUGAUCGGGCCACAUUGGGACUGAGACACGGGCCCAAACUCCUACGGGAGGCAGCAGUAGGGGAAUCUUCCACAAUGGACGCAAAGUCUGAUGGAGCAAAACGCCGCGUGAGUGAAGAAGGGUUUCGGCUCGUAAAAGCUUUGUUGUUGGUGAAGAAGGACAGGGGUAGUAACUGACCCUUGUUUGACGGUAAUCAAUUAGAAAGUCACGGGCUAACUACGUGCCAGCAGCCGCGGUAAAU
rnacentral:rRNA from 1 species